rnacentral:lncRNA from 1 species
AAGAGGCAUUUGAGAGAACAAAAGGCGAGGGGGACAGGGAGAAGAAAAGACAGCGGGAGAGGGAGGAAAAAAGAGAGAGGGAGAGAGGCAAGGAUCAUGGGUGAGGCUGUGAAAACAGAGAAACCAUGUGUUAUGUGACAAGAUGCUCCUCUGAAGACUGACAAUUUUACUUGGGAUUUAAGGUACUAAUCAAGAAGUCUAUAAAGGAAAAAGAUGAGUGUAUAUACACAUAUGUAUGUAUAUAUGUAUUUGUGUAUGUGCAUAUAUAUAAUUUUAAAAAAACAAAUACUAGAGCUGUAGAUGUUUGCAGGAAAGAAUAUAGUUUAGGAAGAAAUGUUCGAAAUGCUUGAAAAUGCAGUGUAAUGAAUUAACUGCCAGCUUCAACUUUUAUUCAGUAUUUCCUUGCACCUAAACAUAAUAAGCGAAGGUAGACUCUAAUGUGAGAAGAAUUUCCUUCUUGGUUGAGGAGCUCCUGAACUUGAGGAAGGGAAAGGAGAAACUGCAGAUCCCCGUUACACGAAGCCUGGGGUUGGAGCGAGCAGUGGAAUCAGUCCUCUUCCGCAUUCAGACAGGGGCACAAGCCACAGCUCUAGCUCCCUCUCAGGCAGAAGGGAGAACAUUCUGGGAGCACAGUGAGGAGAGAAGGGAUAAGGAUGAGUGAAUAAAGUGGAGAGGGAGCAGCUUCACAGAGCAUUGUUCUAAGUCCCCCCAUACUGUGCCUGUGAUUACUAUGAAUUCCUUCACUGCUGAUGGUCACAGCAAGAAGGUUGUCAAGCCACUGAAUAUUUGCAUUUGGACCAAUGCAAAGAUAGGAUGUUUCCAUCUGAAGAUUCACUUUUUAAUAGAUAACUUUACAUCUGGCUCUCAGAUCUCCAUGUGUAGCAUCAAAAAGCAUUAAGUAAAUUGCUGUGGAAUGUCUUCAGUGAAAUA